rnacentral:lncRNA from 1 species
CGGCGGAGAACACAACCUCUCCGAUCCCACCGAUCUUGAUCGCAAGAUGGGUUCUCAGGUGUCUUCAAUCAUCGGUCACUGCCUCGAGGGGCUUAGCUUAUGGACGCUGAAUCCUAGCACUACCUUGCUGGAGUGUAUGGAAGUGUUUAGCAAAGGGAUACAUCGAGCGUUGGUGCCAGUGGAGAGCAGCAUAGAGAGCAGUAACACUAUCUCGGGAGUCGAGUUGGUUGAGUCUUCCUCUGCUUACAGGAUGCUUACUCAGAUGGAUCUCUUGCGGUUCCUUAGAGACCAUCACUCUGAUGACCUCAAGGAUGUUCUGUCACGCUCUAUAUCUGAUCUCCGUAUUAAGUACGUUUUUUUUAAAAGGGGGUUUCAUAUUUUAAGUAGGUUAUUGGAGUACUUUUUUUCGUGAAUUUAUUCGAGAUGAGAUUUCGAUCUUUUAAACUAAGAUAAUUUAUGCUUAUGGACGCUGAAUCCUAGCACUACCUUGCUGGAGUGUAUGGAAGUGUUUAGCAAAGGGAUACAUCGAGCGUUGGUGCCAGUGGAGAGCAGCAUAGAGAGCAGUAACACUAUCUCGGGAGUCGAGUUGGUUGAGUCUUCCUCUGCUUACA